UGCCUCAAAAAAUAUAUCUAAUGUCUCUCUUCCUCCCCACAUGAAAAACGGAUCAGGCCAUCGCUCCCGUAGGUCUCCUUCGGACGCCGCGGUUCCCAACCGCAGCAGCAUCCAGCAUCCCCAAUUGCCACUCUUCCUAAUCCUCUUUCUUGAUGAGUCUUAUCUUUGGGACGUUUCUCCCUUCGGUCUUUCAUCCAUGCUGGAAUUGAUCUGAAAAAACUAGUAAUCCAAUAUAUAUUCUCAGGACAGAAUCUGUCCAAUAUGGUUGAUGCAUCAGAGGAGGUGUACCAUGUACCACAACAGUUCCUGAUUUGGAUAAUUUCUACUCCUAAAAUUUAUCUCUAAUACUCUGUCCAGAAGGUUGGUGCUAGCUCUGCAAUUUUGAAAGGCUGAUUUAUGGAAAGUGUGUGUCCACGUAAACUUGGAUUUGUGGUGAUUAUGUAAGGCUGAUGAGGAUGACGGAUGAUAUAGCCUGAUUUAUUUCCAUCCGCUAUGAGGCACUUGAGCCGGGUCGAUGCCUACGCCAUAAUCCGAGCUGCUUAGUGUGUACUUCUCAAUGCCACAGCCGGAACAACCAUGGCCACGUACCUGUUGAGGACAACCUCUCCGCGACUCCAAUGUUUUAUUACGAUCUCUCAACUAGGCAUACAAUAGACCGUGAAGUGUGGCAUCAAGAACCUCAGCACGCUGCAGGAGAAGACCAUGAAGAUCAGCAAGGAAGUGUUGCAUGUGUCAUAAAGGUUGGUCAAGAAGGUGUGAGACUGCUGCUACUUAAAGGUCAGCGUGGCCUGCAACCACAACAAGACACUUGCCAUGCAUGUUCCUUGCAAGCAGCAGCAGCAUGACUUUGUCGUCAAUAACAUAACAAGGACCAAAUCGAUCACCGUCUACAUGUUUUACUACUCUCAGCAGAGUGGAAUAAAUGUUUGUAAAGUAACCUUUUCUCUGGCCGGUUCAAAUCAUCCCUCCUCCGUUUAGUCAUUUACCUAUUGGACGUGCUCGCCAUGUGUUUAAGAUAAUGUUUAGAGAAAUUGCUACACAUGUGUUAUUUUCUUUUCAGAUGAUUCCCGUGAUUUAUACUUUUACAUGUAAAAAAUUAUAUAUAUAUAUAUAUAUAUAUAAGCAACGAAUAUAUCCUUUGAAUCAAUGCACAAGGUCCUGAAUUUAAUUUAGGAUACGGUGAAAUACAUAGUAUAUUAUCCAACAGUAGGUAUUGUUGCACAUAUCGAUAUCUUUUCUAUACAUGCUAUAUGUUAUGCAGAUUUUACUGCUGCAAGUAAAUUAUUGUAUAGAUUCGGUGUACUGAUUAAGUACCAGUACCUUUUGUGUUGUAUGCAGGUUAAAAAAUUUGUGUACUGGCCAUUGUUUUCUUAUAGACCCUCAUCUCUCAAAUUUUCUGCUACAAAUUUGGUGGAGGUAAGUCCAUAGUUCUGUGGAUACGACAUCGGCAUGUCCAGAAUUAUGGGUUUACAUUUUAGUUUUAUUUCUUGCCAACUUACAUGAGAAAACAGUAGAAAGGUCAGUUCAUUUUCCCCUGUUAUGCAUGGAUAUGAUACCUUCUCACGUUCUACUCCUAAAUAGUUAGUGGUUUGGUCCCCUUUUCAUGGUUCCCAGGUUCGUGCUUCUCUUCAUCAUCUAUCUCUUAUCAAGUUCUAGGCGUAAACCUAUCAAAUUUUAUAUCUAACAAGUGUUAUUGCUUUGCUACCAAGGUUGUUCUGACCGUGUCUUGGCCUUGACUUAGAUGAAAAAGAGUCAGUUCUUUGGUGUCAUGCCUAGCUACAGUUGGUUGUUUUGUAAGUUGCAAGGUAUCUCAUAAGGCACAUGAACAGAUAUCCAUGGUAUUAAUUUGGAUCUCCAUGUCGCGGGGUAGAAAGGACAGAAAGGAGCAGCAGGAUAGCCGGUCCAAUAUUGAGCAGAUUCUGUCUUGGGGAUCACUACCUCGGUGCAAGCAUCCUCUUCCCCACGCCUCCUGAUUUGGUCAUGGCGGUUAAGAGGUAUAAUACUAUAAUCAUGCCCGAUUGGAUAAGAAUCCUAUGUUUCAUGCAAUUUCUUUGAGUUGAUUUCCUCUACAGAAGAAUUUACAUGCAGGCUGUCCUCACUAGGAGGGAAAUUUGAUCAUGUGUGCUGUCAGUAGGUCUUCCAAAACUAAUAGUUUUUUGUAUAAAAAAUCAGGAGCUUCAACCGAUUCGCUCACAUGGCAAGCGACUAGCUCUAGCAAGAUGGGUUCUAUUUCAAUUACAGCUUAGAGAUAACGUUUUUUGGAACAAAACGCUUAUGUUAUUUGGAUUGCCGCAGACAGAUGAUUAGGUUGUCUCUUAGUUUUUUUCAAGUUAUAUAAGCGCCUAUUGAAUAGUUCUUUGCAUUGGACCCUUAGUGUAUGUAGCUGUUUUUUUCAUAUUGGCAUUUAAGCACCUAUAUACAAGCACUCUGCAUAUUAUAGAUGGUCUAACAUGAUGUAGUUUUACUGUUGCAAUGAAAUAAAUGAGAAAAUAGCCGUUGUUCGGCAGGAAACCUGGAGUCAGCAUCUAGCACCCUGCAUUGCAAACCAUCGGUUUGUGGUCACUUUGGUAUCCCGAUGGUGAAAAUUGGAGCAUAUAUACUCUCCAGCCAAUCAAAUCAUUUAUAAGUAUGACAUGAACCAUAGAAAGGUAACUGAAUUUGAUCUGACUUUGGUUUAGGUCCAAAUAUAACAACCUUACAUUGGUAAGCGCAUUCGAAAUUGUGAACUAAAAUUAUGCUUAACAUGAGAGGAAAUCAAGUUUUUUGCUACGGUAUGGUUAACAGUAGCAGCAUAUCAAGUAUAACAGUGGACUGCACUAUUGUUUGUUCACCGUGUUGUUCUUCUUUAGUUAAAGAUUUUCUGAACAUUUAUACCUAUCUCUUAAUAGCACUCGCCUAAACACUUUUUUCUUCAUCUAAAAGUGUUAUAUUUUUUACAUAACAGCAUCUUGACGCGGCCAAACAGUGCAGCAAUUAUAUUGUAAUCGUGAUUGCAUAUGUAGCUCUUUUGUUUCCACCCCGAAAUGUCAUUAAACUUAAUUUAAAUUUCAGUUCGAUCUGAAGAGGUUAUGCCCUUUCACUUAGUAUCGACCAGCAUUGGUUCUCAAUGUUUAUGCAUCAUUAGUUUCAUAAGAUACCAGAAUGCAUGUGUGGAGAGAAUAUUAGUUCAGUUGUUAAAAACAACCGUUGUAUUGUUCCUAAAUUUUGUUAGAUUAACUGGUCCGCUACAUUCAUAGAAUGCUAGACUUGAACUAUUUAUAGAUUCCCUUUCUUUGCGCACUUUUAGUCCUACAAGAAGUUCUUUGUUACUACAAAUAAUUGAUUUAUUCCUCAUAUAGAUAUCCUCCUGAAAGAUAUUGAUAGCGGGAGAAAGAAAUUUUAUGUCAGAUAGCUAUUGCUCAUUCCACAUUUUACCACUUUUCAUUUCGUGGCCUUCCUUCAAACACAUAAACUUGAUGCAGUCUGUAGGCACUGUAUGUUGAUCUCACAUUUCUCUUUCCAUUUCUUGGUCUGCAUGAAUUUUACUGGUAUAGUGCAUAUUCGUGAUAGGAACUCUUAGCAUUGAGGAAACACAAAGAGUCAUUUUGUAUGUACAAUCUGUAAUUUACAUGCCUAAAACCACAAAACCAGAAUACAAAUAUAUGGCAUCAAUAUAGGGAGAAUGUAGAUAACACUUACAGAUUCAAUUUUUUUGUUCACGGAAAUAAGGGAUGGACUAGCGGUAGUAAGACCUUCGAGAGGCUUUCGAAACCCCACGGAAAAUAGCAAGUAAUCUUCCCAUGAUAAACAAAAUCCUAAUACUCUCCAAACACACAAAGUUAGCAUUUUGUAUAUCCUAGAGUCAACCACAUUUGAAAUUAUUCACUCCUGUUUCAUGCAAUUUUUAAAAAUGCGAAAUAAAUCAAGACUUUUUUUUCUAAAGCUUCUAAAAAGUAUACUUACAUUAUCGAAUGGCUAUAAUUCCUUUGUAUGUGUACCGUAAUAUAUAUAGGUACAUGGAAAAUUGUGACAUGCCUGCAAUAACAUAUGAUAUUUAUUUAUGUUUGCCCUGCAAUAAAACUAUUUAGUAAAUUCUAAGCCAUCAAGAACUAAUAAUAGUAUAAUAAUAUUGUUAACUAAACAUAUACAAAGUAAAUAUUCAUAAUAUGAUAGCCGUGCGAAUGCACGGGUUGGCGACUAGUAUAUAUAAUGGAGUAAAAAAAUCUCUCCAUAGCAGUGGUUUAAAUAGAAUACGCGCGUUCCUGAAAAAAAAGAAACUAAAACUGGCGGACAAUUUUUUAACGUACCAAGAAAGAAAAGUCAAUCAAAAACUUGAUGCAGUCUGUAGGCACUGUAUGUUGAUCUCACAUUUAUCUUUUCAUUUCCCUUCCUUCAAACACAUAAACUUGAUGCAGUCUGUAGGCACUGUAUGUUGAUCUCACAUUUCUCUUUUCAUUUCUUGGUCUGCAUGAAUUUUACUGGUAUAGUGCAUAUUCGUGAUAGGAACUCUUAGCAUUGAGGAAACACAAAGAGUCAUUUUGUAUGUACAAUCUGUAAUUUACAUGCCUAAAACCACAAAACCAGAAUACAAAUAUAUGGCAUCAAUAUAGGGAGAAUGUAGAUAACACUUACAGAUUCAAUUUUUUUGUUCACGGAAAUAAGGGAUGGACUAGCGGUAGUAAGACCUUCGAGAGGCUUUCGAAACCCCACGGAAAAUAGCAAGUAAUCUUCCCAUGAUAAACAAAAUCCUAAUACUCUCCAAACACACAAAGUUAGCAUUUUGUAUAUCCUAGAGUCAACCACAUUUGAAAUUAUUCACUCCUGUUUCAUGCAAUUUUUACAAAUGCGAAAUAAAUCAAGACUUUUUUUCUAAAGCUUCUAAAAAGUAUACUUACAUUAUCGAAUGGCUAUAAUUCCUUUGUAUGUGUACCGUAAUAUAUAUAUAGGUACAUGGAAAAUUGUGACAUGCCUGCAAUAACAUAUGAUAUUUAUUUAUGUUUGCCCUGCAAUAAAACUAUUUAGUAAAUUCUAAGCCAUCAAGAACUAAUAAUAGUAUAAUAAUAUUGUUAACUAAACAUAUACAAAGUAAAUAUUCAUAAUAUGAUAGCCGUGCGAAUGCACGGGUUGGCGACUAGUAUAUACAAUGGAGUAAAAAAUCUCUCCAUAGCAGUGGUUUUAAAUAGAAUACGCGCGUUCCUGAAAAAAAGAAACUAA